rnacentral:rRNA from 1 species
AUUGAACGCUGGCGGCAUGCCUUACACAUGCAAGUCGAACGGUAACAGGUCUUCGGAUGCUGACGAGUGGCGAACGGGUGAGUAAUACAUCGGAACGUGCCUAGUAGUGGGGGAUAACUACUCGAAAGAGUGGCUAAUACCGCAUGAGAUCUACGGAUGAAAGCAGGGGAUCGCAAGACCUUGUGCUACUAGAGCGGCCGAUGGCAGAUUAGGUAGUUGGUGGGAUAAAAGCUUAACAAGCCGACGAUCUGUAGCUGGUCUGAGAGGACGAUCAGCCACACUGGGACUGAGACACGGCCCAGACUCCUACGGGAGGCAGCAGUGGGGAAUUUUGGACAAUGGGCGAAAGCCUGAUCCAGCAAUGCCGCGUGCAGGAUGAAGGCCUUCGGGUUGUAAACUGCUUUUGUGCGGAACGAAAAGCCCCGGGUUAAUACCCUGGGGUCAUGACGGUACCGUAAGAAUAAGCACCGGCUAACUACGUGCCAGCAGCCGCCGCCG